UACGUAGGGUGCGAGCGUUGUCCGGAAUUAUUGGGCGUAAAGAGCUUGUAGGCGGUUUGUCGCGUCUGCUGUGAAAAUCCGGGGCUCAACCCCGGGCCUGCAGCCGAUACGGGCAGACUAGAGUUCGGCAGGGGGAGACUGGAAUUCCUGGUGUAGCGGUGAAAUGCGCAGAUAUCAGGAGGAACACCGGUGGCGAAGGCGGGUCUCUGGGCCGAUACUGACGCUGAGGAGCGAAAGCGUGGGGAGCAAACAGG
rnacentral:rRNA from 1 species